rnacentral:rRNA from 1 species
GUGUAAGUAUAAAUAAUUUUACUUUGAAACUGCGAAUGGCUCAUUAUAUCAGUUAUAGUUUAUUAGAAAUAUUUUACUACUUGGAUAACCGUAGUAAUUCUAGGGCUAAUACAUGAGUAAAACCUCAACUUCGGAAGAGGUGUGUUUAUUAGUAUGAAAACCAUAUAUCUUCGGAUAUAAUAGUGAGUAAUAAUAACCUUUCAUAUCGUAUGUCGUAAGAUAACGAUAGUUCUUUCAAGUUUCUGCCCUAUCAGCUUUCGAUGGUAGUAUAUGGGACUACCAUG